rnacentral:lncRNA from 1 species
GGCGCACUCGCGCUCGUUUUCCGCUCUUGCUCUUCACACAAAAAAAUCUCUGUCAAAAACUUGUAUUUUCUCCUCUUACUCCUCUUAAAAGCGAUCACAGUAGGUUAUAGGUACUACAAUUUCCUAAUUCCUACACUUAAAAAAGUUAAAAGAGUUCAACUUGCUAGCUAUUAGCUAGUUUUUGAUGGGCAAAGUUGCCAGUUUCGAAAACACGAAAACAUUUUGUUUCAAAAACACAAGUUUGUCAAAAUUACUGUCCGAUAAAUUUGAACGUUUUGGAACAAAAAUGAGUCCCGCAUUGCUGAAAAGACGAUUUUGGAUGUCGUCUGUACAAUUGCGUAUUUUUUCACACAAAAAAAAUUGAUAGCGCACUAAGUUUGGACCAAAUGUUUUUAUUGCUGACUGAUAGAUGGCGUUCGCGUUCGAGCGAGUCGCUCAGCAGGUCUUCGCUCAAGCUCAAGCUCACGUUAUUUUUAAUUGAGCGGCUCGCGCUCAACGCUCAGUGAAAAUCGCGAGCGCGCUCUUUUUUCGCUCAAGCUCAGAGCGCGCUCCGCCCGACUCUGAUCACAGUUAUGUUAUCUUCAACAUUAGACUGAGGUCUAUUGAUCUCUCCCCAAUUUCAGAAAUUAGAAAUUCAAGGCGUGUCAUAAGAGAUGGAAUACGAUUAAUUAAACAGGUUUUGGAAUUGCAGAGCAGUAGGUUUACUGUAAACGUGACGUCUUCAAGGAAUGCGUCAUUAGUAUUUUCGAUCUGACCUUGUGAUUGAUAUAAACUCGGAUAUCAGAAUCUUCACAACAGGAAGAAAAACCUUUUUCCUCCCCCAUUUGUCCUGUUCAGCAUCCGAGAGUCAAACUCCAGAGAAGUCUACCUGUACGUCACUGGCCUUGAAAAAAAAGAGAACCUUUAUGCAUAUUAAAACAAUCUGAUUGAUAGACUACCGAACUGCCGAACAUAGACGCCCAAAAGAAUCGACGACAACAACCAAAUUAAAAUGUGGAAUGUAUUAAAUAUUUUUAAAAAUGUUCGAGUAAUGCAAUUUGAAAAAAAAAAAACACACACCCCCCCAAAAUAAGAUCACCACAAUGACGAUGAUUGGCCGUACUAUUUUUAUCCGGAAAUGCUAAUGGCUCCAGCACUAGCCGAAACACCGCCACCAGGUAGGGGUCCUGCUCCGGCAGCAGCGAAUCGAUUCGGUGAACCCACUGCAACGGAUACUGGACGUACCGAACCUGAUGUUGGACGGAAUGAUGUCUGCUGACGCACGGGAAUUGUGGUAGGACGGAACGCAGACGGACGCAGGCUUGUUGAAGAUGGGCGAAUUCCGGAAGAGCCGAUUGCUGCAACUGCAUUUCCUCCCGAAGUGAAGCGAUUGCCACCCGAACUGACGGCGACGGCGCUGCCUCCUGAACUGAAUCCGUUUCCUCCUGAAGAGACGAUGUAGAUACCUUGCCCACCGGGUAUGUAGAACGGUCGAAUAAUAGUGUUACCAUUAGUCGGGUAACGCGUCCCGGUUACGCCAUUCAAGCCUUGAGUGGCAGCUGCAAAUGUAUUGGCGACGGCAGCAUUAGCAGCCGCGACGACUCGGUUGUUGAUUUGAUAAGUCAAUCCCGCGAUUUGAUUGUGAAUAUCGUUAGCUAUGCUGUAAGGAUUGUACGGGUAGAAUUGGGGAGCCCGACGAUCCCGAUUUGCGUUGACAAUGUGCACCGAUAAAACGGCCAUGGCCACUAGCAUGAUCUGCAUCAACCCGGAAACGGAAAAAGAAAGGACAAAAAAGGGUUUCAACAAAUUUUACCUGAACGGAAUUCAUUUUUUCGCGAAACUUCACAGUGACAACUGACUUGGACAAGAGGACGGCACCAACUGGUUGUUCCAUGUCCAUACUUUCACCUUUUAUACACCAUGUGUUUUGUUUUGUUUUCCUUCCAGUUUCUAUUAUCACGUUUCUUCCUUCCCACUUUUUUUCACGACUUUGUGUGUGCCGGCUAGAAGAAAAAAAAAGAAGCAACCGCAACCGGCCAUACUAGAAACAUAAGGAAUAGGAAGGCGUAGUGGAACAUUUCAACAUCGAUAAACAACUGAGACAGAGAGAAAAUGACUUUAAAAAAAUGAUGAAACUGAAAAAUAAAUUUUUUCACGAUCCCGAAAAAUUUCCCCUACAUCGUCAUGUUGACUGGUGUAGGUGGAAAUGCAAAUUUGUUUUGGGAAUUUCCUAUGAGACAACAACAAAGAAAUUCUUUGAUCUUCUUGACAUAUUCCUACUCCAGAUCGAUCAGUUCACGUUGAUUGAAUUUCGUGACCUCCAAUUCAUUCGUCAAGCCGAAAAUGUCUAAAUAGAAGAACCGAAUUGAAGGUUAAACACAAAAAAAAAAAAGG